rnacentral:tRNA from 1 species
GAAAAAUUUUUCUUUCACUAAGUUAAAUAAAUUAUUUUAAUUAAUAGAUUAUUUAUAA